GAGCAGCACUGAUAGAUGGAGAUGAAGAAAAUGGUCCCUUCUGUUUGAAUAUGCUGAGUUUGAGAUGAAGAGCUGGUUAAUUAUCAAUUUUUGUGAGAAAGGAAGGCUGUCCUCAUCUUUUGAAAGUCCUCCGAGCACAGCAGGCUAUGCAUGGUACGCCUCCAGUUUGUGAAAACAUCGGCAUCUGGAUGAACCCGACGAGUCAUCUGUGCCUUCUGCAUUGUGUCUCUGUGUGCCCUAAAACAGCACAAGCCAGCCACAAAUGAGUUCCUCUGCUCUGCCGCACACUCUUGCUGUGACCGGCAGCUUCUCCACAGACCUAAAGCCAAUAGGGCCAACCAUCCAUGACUGAAAUCUCCAAAACUGUGAGCCAAUGUCAUCCUUUUCUCUUUAUAAACUGAACAUGUUCAGGUUUCAUCCCAUAGGACUUGGAAGACAGAACAGAGCAGAAGUCCCCUUUGACAACUUUUGGCUACUUUCUGCUGAGGGCUGAGGCCCCCAGCCUCCUGGUAUCCAGGGCACUGGCAGGAGUGGCAGCUGCACCUUCCAGUCCCCAGGAUCUCAGUUGUGAUGGUUCAUUCUAGAACUGAGGGGCUCAAGAGAUCCCUGCAUGGGCUGAAGGAGCAGGCUCCAGGCUGGGCUUUGGAGAUCAAGUCCCAGAACUCCACCACUGCUCAUUUCUUCUGCGAAGCUGCUCCCUCUGCCAUGGUCAGUAGGUAUGGGAGAGCAGGAGCUGUCAUUGGGCUUGCUGAAUUCACAGCUACAACCAAGGAUGGAAAAGCUACUACCAAACACCCACGAAGAUACUGGCCAGACCCACAUCCCUGCUGAUGAGCUUGUGCCACAUUUCUAG
rnacentral:lncRNA from 1 species